rnacentral:rRNA from 1 species
UACGUAGGGUCCGAGCGUUUGUCCGGAAUUAUUGGGCGUAAAGGGCUCGUAGGCGGUCUGUUGCGUCGGGAGUGAAAACUUACAGCUUAACUGUGAGCGUGCUUCCGAUACGGGCAGACUUGAGGUAUUCAGGGGAGAACGGAAUUCCUGGUGUAGCGGUGAAAUGCGCAGAUAUCAGGAGGAACACCGGUGGCGAAGGCGGUUCUCUGGGAAUAUCCUGACGCUGAGGAGCGAAAGUGUGGGGAGCGAACAGG